rnacentral:rRNA from 1 species
UACGGAGGAUGCGAGCGUUAUCCGGAUUUAUUGGGUUUAAAGGGUGCGUAGGUGGCCUCUUAAGUCAGUGGUGAAAGUUUGUCGCUCAACGAUAAAAUUGCCAUUGAAACUGGGGGGCUUGAGUAUGUUUGAGGUAGGCGGAAUGCGUGGUGUAGCGGUGAAAUGCAUAGAUAUCACGCAGAACUCCGAUUGCGAAGGCAGCUUACUAAACCAUAACUGACACUGAUGCACGAAAGCGUGGGGAGCAAAC